CAGUCGCCGCGGGAAUACGAAGGGGGCUAGCGUUGCUCGGAGUGACUGGGCGUAAAGGGCGCGUAGGCGGCGAUCAAAGUCAGGCGUGAAAUUCCUGGGCUCAACCUGGGGGCUGCGCUUGAUACUUGGUUGCUGGAGUGGGGAAGAGGGUCGUGGAAUUCCCAGUGUAGAGGUGAAAUUCGUAGAUAUUGGGAAGAACACCGGUGGCGGAGGCGGCGACCUGGUCCUUGACUGACGCUGAGGCGCGAAAGCGUGGGGAGCAAACAGGAUUAGAUACCCGCGUAGUCCCUGUCUCUUAUAC
rnacentral:rRNA from 1 species